CGUAGCACAUGUCCAUGUCAUGGGUCACUUUCUGUAAAGGACACGGAGACAUGCCUGAUAUUUAAACUCCAUCCUGAAUCCUGAGGAUUUUAGAAGCUAUGAUUUGUGUUUGUGGCACCAGACAGGUGCUACCUGCUUCCACAUACAGUAUCUUCUUCUUUAAUAUAUCAUGCUGUGUCUAUUACUCAUCUGGUGAAACUAACAUCGUUGUGCUCUACCGCCCACCAGGACCUAUCGCAGAAGUUAGGUGUCCUCUCGAAAAUCCCAGAAGACACCUCCACCGCUUGUAAUUCUGGGUGACUUCAACAUCCAGACAGAGAGUGAACUGAUGUCAGGCCUCUCAUUGCUGCUGCUGUCCAGAUGCCUGAGGACAAAAACACAAGUGUACUGUUUUCUGUGAGCCCAGCUCUAUUUAAAAAGUCUCACAGCUCUUGUCAGUCCACACAUGCAGCUCCUGGGCCAGCUCAGGUAUCACCAGGAACGUCCUCCAGCCCUGCCGCUUCUUGGAUUUAAGGAUGUCGCCAAAAAUGUGGUCUCCGAUGUAGAU